rnacentral:rRNA from 1 species
GACGAACGCUGGCGGCGUGCCUAAUACAUGCAAGUCGAACGCAGGGGGGACGGGUGAGUAACACGUGGGUAACAUCCCAGCAGAGUGGAUAACACUUGGAAACAGGUGCUAAACCGAUACUGAUUUAUGUACCCGCUGUGCAUGAGCUUGUUGGUGAGGUAAAGGCUCACCAAGGCAACGAUGACUAGCGGAACUGAGAGGGUGAUCGGCCACACUGGGACUGAGACACGGCCCAGACUCCGACGGGAGGCAGCAGUGGGGAAUAUUGCACAAUGGGGGAAACCCUGAUGCAGCCAUGCCGCGUGUAUGAAGAAGGCCUUAGGGUUGUAAAGUACUUUCGGCAGGGAGGCGUUACCCGCAGAAUAAGCACCGGCUAACUCCGUGCCAGCAGCCGCGGUAAUAC